GGUGAACGCUGGCGGUAGGCCUAACACAUGCAAGUCGAACGGCAGCACAGUAAGAGCUUGCUCUUACGGGUGGCGAGUGGCGGACGGGUGAGGAAUACAUCGGAAUCUACUUUUUCGUGGGGGAUAACGUAGGGAAACUUACGCUAAUACCGCAUACGACCUACGGGUGAAAGCAGUGGUUCUUCGGACCUUGCGCGUUUGAAUGAGCCGAUGGCGGAUUAGCUAGUUGGCGGGGUAAAGGCCCACCAAGGCGACGAUCCGUAGCUGGUCUGAGAGGAUGAUCAGCCACACUGGAACUGAGACACGGUCCAGACUCCUACGGGAGGCAGCAGUGGGGAAUAUUGGACAAUGGGCGCAAGCCUGAUCCAGCCAUACCGCGUGGGUGAAGAAGGCCUUCGGGUUGUAAAGCCCUUUUGUUGGGAAAGAAAAGCAGCAGGUUAAUACCCCGCUGUUCUGACGGUACCCAAAGAAUAAGCACCGGCUAACUUCGUG
rnacentral:rRNA from 1 species